GCGGAUGUGGCGGAAUUGGUAGACGCGCUAGAUUUAGGUUCUAGUGCCGCAAGGCGUGAAGGUUCAAGUCCUUUCAUCCGCACUA
rnacentral:tRNA from 1 species